GCACGUUGGAAGAAGACUAGCACGAGUUCGAGCCGACUCGAGAAAAAUCCGAACCGACUCUAUUUGUAGGAUAGAAAGCUGAAUUCUGCAUACUUGAGAGCGAGCUGACUUGAAAUGAAACCGAGUCAACUCAAAAUGAAACCGAACCGACUCCAAAGAAAAUCGAGUCAACUCGUGACACGGGACAUGCUAUAAUGACUAGUUUUUCUGU
rnacentral:lncRNA from 1 species